rnacentral:lncRNA from 14 species
AUUCCAAAGAAGAAAUCAUUAGCAUUUUCAUUAAAUGCCAAAGAGUGUGACUAUUAGACCUACCUCAGGCAACCCUGGGGUUGAAAACUUUUCAACAAGAUUUAAUUGAUCCAGAUGGGUUGAGGUUGUUUGUGUUUUUACCGCUUUCCACCCUUCUACCCCCUGCCUCAAUCUCUGCGCUCCAUCAUAUGUGAGAAAACCCCAAACCCAACCAAAUUAAAAUAAAUAAACAACGCCUUCAGCCCACGCCCUGGAAUGAAAACUGCAGUGUAAUAUGAAAUGUGUCCUGAUCGUCUUGUUAUGGAGCCCGGUGACUCACCAACUGCUACAAUUGGGGUUAGAUAAAAUAAAGGCAUUAUAAUUAAGGAGGCAGCAGGAGGAUGUUAACUGGGCAGUCGGAUGGAAGAAGGCCCAUUGCAGAUCCAGGUGUGCUGGGGUUUGGCUUGGCCUUUGUGGAGGGCUGCCAGGCAUGCGUGGACAUGCGGCUUGGCUGGGUGAUAUGCAGCAGAGGGUCUGCUUGAAAACACAUAAGAGGGCUUGCUUUGCUGCUUCUUUGCCUCCUGAAGGAAAGUGACUGCAGAUGUAAUUCUGUUAAGAUCUCCUGUGUAUUCAGCAUCUUACUCCCAGCAGCUGAGUGAGCUGGCCUCGAUGUCCCAUCGACAGGUGGAUCGUACAAUGGUGUUUCACAUGUCAGCAUGCCAGAGCAGUGCCACAAACAACCUAUGGCCAGUGAAAAUGCAUCUUAGAUCUGCUUUGCACAGCUUUGUUUCCAGAGGACCCAGAAGGGACCAGAUUCCUUAUUGCCCUUUUCUGCUGCUGUUAUUAUCUUGAACACCCAUAAUCCACUUGUGGUCACUUCCCAGAUCUCCCAACAAUAUGAAAGUCUUGAAGAUGAACAACUAGGGCAGCAAGUCAGUGUUAUUUCCUACUGGAAUGGAACUGAAGCUUUUAGCAGGAACAAGGUGUUCUGGAGUUUCCCUUAGGUAAUUGUCUGAUGUCUGUGUCAUAACUUGGUGGAUCGACAUUUUUCUCUCCCUCUAGUCUGUGCCUGUGCAAUAUUUGGUGGAAGGUGUUAAUGAGACUUCAGCAUUUAUGGCUGGUGAGAAUAAAUCAGUGGAGAUGACGCUGUCCCGUUCUCA